rnacentral:rRNA from 1 species
GAUGAACGCUGGCGGCGUGCCUAAUACAUGCAAGUCGAGCGAACAGACGAGGAGCUUGCUCCUCUGCCGUUAGCGACGGACGGGUGAGUAACACGUGGAUAACCUACCUAUAAGACUGGGAUAACUUCGGGAAACCGGAGCUACUACCGGAUAAUAUAUUGAACCGCAUGGUUCAAUAGUGAAAGACGGUUUUGCUGUCACUUAUAGAUGGAUCCGCGCCGCAUUAGCUAGUUGGUAAGGUAACGGCUUACCAAGGCAACGAUGCGUAGCCGACCUGAGAGGGUGAUCGGCCACACUGGAACUGAGACACGGUCCAGACUCCUACGGGAGGCAGCAGUAGGGAAUCUUCCGCAAUGGGCGAAAGCCUGACGGAGCAACGCCGCGUGAGUGAUGAAGGUCUUCGGAUCGUAAAACUCUGUUAUUAGGGAAGAACAAAUGUGUAAGUAACUAUGCACGUCUUGACGGUACCUAAUCAGAAAGCCACGGCUAACUACGUG